CCUACGGGGGGCAGCAGCUAAGAAUAUUCCGCAAUGGACGAAAGUCUGACGGAGCGACGCCGCGUGGAUGAAGAAGGCCGAAAGGUUGUAAAAUCCUUUUGCUGAUGAAGAAUAAGUGGUGUAGGGAAUGACAUCAUGAUGACAUUAGUCGGUGAAUAAGCCCCGGCUAACUACGUGCCAGCAGCCGCGGUAACACGUAGGGGGCAAGCGUUGUUCGGAAUUAUUGGGCGUAAAGGGCAUGUAGGCGGUCUUGUAAGCCUGGUGUGAAAUCCUGCAGCUU
rnacentral:rRNA from 1 species